ACUCAAAGGAAUAGACGGGGGCCCGCACAAGCAGCGGAGCGUGUGGUUUAAUUCGAGGCUACACGAAGAACCUUACCUGGGUUUGACAUACCAGUAGUAGUGAACCGAAAGGGGAACGACCGCAAGGAGCUGGUACAGGUGCUGCAUGGCUGUCGUCAGCUCGUGCCGUGAGGUGUUCGGUUAAGUCCGCAAACGAGCGCAACCCUCGGCGUUAGUUACAAGUGUCUAACGCGACUGCCCGUGAGAAACGGGAGGAAGGUGGGGAUGACGUCAAGUCAGCAUGGCCUUUAUAUCCAGGGCUACACACACGCUACAAUGGACGGUACAAUGGGUUGCGAGACCGCGAGGUGGAGCCAAUCCCGAAAGCCGUUCGUAGUUCGGAUUGCAGGCUGCAACCCGCCUGCAUGAAGUCGGAGUUGCUAGUAACCGCGCGUCAGCCAUAGUGCGGUGAAUACGUUCCCGGGCCUUGUACACACCGCCCGU
rnacentral:rRNA from 1 species